rnacentral:rRNA from 1 species
GGAGGAAAGCAGGGGAUCGAAAGACCUCGCGUUAUUGGAGCGGCCGAUGCCGGAUUAGCUAGUUGGUGAGGUAAAGGCUCACCAAGGCGACGAUCCGUAGCUGGUCUGAGAGGACGACCAGCCACACUGGGACUGAGACACGGCCCAGACUCCUACGGGAGGCAGCAGUGGGGAAUUUUGGACAAUGGGGGCAACCCUGAUCCAGCCAUGCCGCGUGAGUGAAGAAGGCCUUCGGGUUGUAAAGCUCUUUCGCAAGGAAAGAAAACUUAUCUACUAAUACUAGGUGAGGAUGACGGUACCUUGAUAAGAAGCACCGGCUAACUACGUGCCAGCAGCCGCGGUAAUACGUAGGGUGCGAGCGUUAAUCGGAAUUACUGGGCGUAAAGCGUGCGCAGGCGGUUUCGUAAGCCAGAUGUGAAAUCCCCGGGCUCAACCUGGGAACUGCGUUUGAAACUACAAAGCUAG